CGGAGGGUGCGAGCGUUGUCCGGAUUUAUUGGGUUUAAAGGGUGCGUAGGUGGCUUUAUAAGUCAGUGGUGAAAUACAGCCGCUCAACGGUUGAGGUGCCAUUGAUACUGUGGAGCUUGAAACAAUUGGAGGCUGCCGGAAUGGAUGGUGUAGCGGUGAAAUGCAUAGAUAUCAUCCAGAACACCGAUUGCGAAGGCAGGUGGCUACGUUUGAUUUGACACUGAGGCACGAAAGCAUGGGGAGCAAACAGGAUUAGAUACCCUGGUAGUCCAUGCUGUAAACGAUGAGGACUCGCUGUUGGGCUGUCACGGUCCAGCGGCUUAGGGAAACCGUUAAGUCCUCCACCUGGGGAUACGCCGGCAACGGUG
rnacentral:rRNA from 1 species